rnacentral:rRNA from 1 species
CAGCACCUCAAGUGGUCAGGAUGAUUAUUGGGCCUAAAGCAUCCGUAGCCGGCGCUGUAAGUUUUCGGUUAAAUCUGUACGCUCAACGUACAGGCUGCUGGGAAUACUGCAGCGCUAGGGAGUGGGAGAGGUAGACGGUACUCGGUAGGAAGGGGUAAAAUCCUUUGAUCUAUUGAUGACCACCUGUGGCGAAGGCGGUCUACCAGAACACGUCCGACGGUGAGGGAUGAAAGCUGGGGGAGCAAACCGGAUUAGAGACCCGAGUAGUCC